AGGGGGUGCUUGCACCCCGCUGACGAGCGGCGGACGGGUGAGUAAUGCAUAGGAAACUGCCCAGUAGUGGGGGAUAGCCCGGGGAUAACCCGAGAUGUGAAUAGCCGCGUACGCCCUUAACCGGGGAAAGCAGGCGAUCUUCGAACCUGUCAGCGCUAUUGAGUAUGGUAGACGAGUGUCGGAAUUAUCCUAGUUGGUAGCGGUGAAAGGCCUACAUAUAGGAAGGAACGAUCCGUAGCUGGUCUGAGAGGAUGAUCAGCCACAUCGGGACCGAGACACGGACCGAACUCCUACGGUGAGAAAGCAGUGGGGAGCAUAUUGGACAGGAUGAGGGCAUACCCUGAUCCAGUCCACGCCGUAAACGAUGUCUGAAGAAGCCGUUCGGGACUCUGUAAAGCACUUUCAGUGAGCGCAGCAAAAGUUGGUCACUAAGUAGACCGCCUGGGGAGUACGGCCGCAAGGUUAAAACUCAAAUGAAUUGACGGGGGCCCGCACAAGCGGUGGAGCAUGUGGUUUAAUUCGACGCAACGCGAAGAACCUUACCUGGCCUUGACAUGCAGAGAACUUUCCAGAGAUGGAUUGGUGCCUUCGGGAACUCUGACACAGGUGCUGCAUGGCCGUCGUCAGCUCGUGUCGUGAGAUGUUGGGUUAAGUCCCGUAACGAGCGCAACCCCUAUCCCUAGUUGCUAGCAGUUCGGCUGAGAACUCUAGGGAGACUGCCGGUGACAAACCGGAGGAAGGUGGGGAUGACGUCAGGUCAUCAUGGCCCUUACGGCCAGGGCUACACACGUGCUACAAUGGCGCGCACAGAGGGCUGCAAACCCGCGAGGGGGAGCCAAUCUCACAAAACGCGUCGUAGUCCGGAUCGCAGUCUGCAACUCGACUGCGUGAAGUCGGAAUCGCUAGUAAUCGUGAAUCAGAAUGUCACGGUGAAUACGUUCCCGGGCCUUGUACACACCGCCCGUCACACCAUGGGAGUGGAUUGCACCAGAAGUGGUUAGUCUAAC
rnacentral:rRNA from 1 species